UGGGGAAUAUUGGACAAUGGGCGAAAGCCUGAUCCAGCAAUGCCGCGUGAGUGAUGAAGGCCUUAGGGUUGUAAAGCUCUUUUACCCGGGAUGAUAAUGACAGUACCGGGAGAAUAAGCUCCGGCUAACUCCGUGCCAGCAGCCGCGGUAAUACGGAGGGAGCUAGCGUUAUUCGGAAUUACUGGGCGUAAAGCGCACGUAGGCGGCUUUGUAAGUUAGAGGUGAAAGCCUGGAGCUCAACUCCAGAAUUGCCUUUAAGACUGCAUCGCUUGAAUCCAGGAGAGGUGAGUGGAAUUCCGAGUGUAGAGGUGAAAUUCGUAGAUAUUCGGAAGAACACCAGUGGCGAAGGCGGCUCACUGGACUGGUAUUGACGCUGAGGUGCGAAAGCGUGGGAGCGAAACAGGAUUAGAUACCCUGGUAGUCCACGCCGUAACGAUGAUAACUAGCUGUCGGGGCUCGUUAGAGC
rnacentral:rRNA from 1 species